AUGGCGAAAGGAUUCUUCCUUUACCUUCUGUUGGUACGUUCACUUUUCCGGACUUCAAGCUUCAUAUGUUGCAUUCCGUUCGUCCAUGUAAUGACUGCCACAAAUACUAUGAAGUUCAUCAUGAAAAUCCCAAAGUUUGUAUUCUCUAGCUUGAGGAGCUUUGUUGACAUGCCAACUAGUGCUAGAAUCUCUCUGGAAGCUUUCCUGGGUGGUAUGCAUGUUAUCAUGCCAUCAUCUUUCAAGCUGUGCAAGCAACAUAGGAGGAUGGUGAUUGAGAAGACCAGUUUCAGCGAGUUCAUCUCAGCUACUGAGUAUCAAAAAUACAAUGUUGUGCUCAUCACUUUUAAUGAGUCAACUUAUGAUAGUUCAGUUUCAAUCAUGUUCCAACGGCUUCUAUGCAACGUUGGUGGCGGAGACCCGCAGUUUGAUGUCGAAAAUUUCCUGAACAAUCUGCAAAAUUUGUUCUGCUCAUCAAAUGAUAUUGCCAAUUCUUAUAAGAAUCCCUGUCGUGCCCCACUUCCUCCGAAGAAGGCAAUGAGCAGGUGCAAUCAUGGGUAUUUCAGUGACCUGUUGAAGAAAAUUCCACCAUCAAGAUUAGAUGUCAUUAAGAAUUAUGGUCGCUCUUUUAUUCUUGAUUUUGAGUGCAAUUCUGUUCCAAGAGGGUUUGCACAAUGGAUAGCAGGGAAAGUAAAUCCACCUACUGGUGACAUAGUUCUUGAUAACAAAGUCAUUCUAAUGAGCCCCGAAUCAUUUCAUCUUCUGCUUGGUCUUCCAUUAGGUGGCACAUCAGUUUUAUUUGACAGCGAGGUGACAAAAGCAGCCUUCCUCAAUAUUAUUGGUGAACCUACACUUCCUUCUAUCAAGUGGUUUGGCUUGAGAAUGCUCAAGCCUGAUAUAUCUGACAUUGAUUUUCUGAGAUUUUCUGGAUUUUGGGUUACGCCGAGUGCCUCCUGGAAUUCCAAGAUUAAAGGCCUGGAAAAAUUCGUUUGUCAAAGAGUUUGCAAAUUUGGAUUGCAAAGGUCCAAGGGAAUAUGGCCUACGCCCUAUUCUUCUCAUGAAUCUGUGAAGUUUAGAUGUGCGCUUGAUAAAACUGUUGGUGGUUUACUACCUUCCUCGGUGAAAGACCAGUUAUCUUUGAUAGCAAGGCGUUUUCGUGGAACUGCUGAUGAAAAGUCUAUUAAAGGAGCUCAGAAUAUGCUGCUAGAUUCGCUAAAUUGUAUUAUUCUAGCUACCGGUUCAGAUGAUGAGGCAAAUCAAUCUGACAUGAAUUCAAGAAGAAAUACAAGCAAUAGUAUGGCAAGUAGUGAUAAAUCAGUGCUUAGGAGUCAUGGAUGCAAUGAUCAUUCUUCCAAUAUCAAUGUAUCUCCACCUAUUCAACAUUCUCCAAAUGUUACCAAUGCCAAUGUGGAUUUGCAUGAUACUGCAGAUCAGCCAGUACGAACUAAUUCAAAAGUGACUUCUACGCAGACCACACUGGGCAAGGCCAUGAGUCUUAGGAAGAAAUCAUUUUUCCCUGAGAAGCUAAGGUUGAAAUCUACAAUGAAUGGUGAAUGUUUUGAUAUCUCCUCUCAAAAAUCAUUGAACGAUCAAAUCAUGGCAUCAAGUCAAGGUCAUUUUCGACUGCGUGAUGAGAAGUCUGAUGGCACUCCAAGGUCAUGGGCACAUCAAAAUUUUGCGAAUCGCACUGAAUUUUUAGGUGAAACUUAUCAGCCUAUUGUUCCUGUCACUAAGAUUGAUUUAGAUUCUGGUGGACAGUCUAGCCCUGGGAAGUCCCCUGAUGUUGAGAUAUUAUAUGAAGUCAAGAAAGAUGACAGAUUGAACAACUUCAUUCCUACUUCUGAUGUGAUUUAUAAUGACAAAAUCAACAGUCAUUCUGCUAGUAAAUCUGGAAGAGAGCUCAGUAGAUAUGGACCAAAGAGGAUUCUAAACCCUAGCAAAUACAAUGCUUCUCCUUAUGUCAAUCAGAAAUCAUCGAGAUACCAUGUUACAACAAGAAUGAUUCAAUUACAUGAUGCUAUUGUCACUUUGUCUCUUGAUGAAGAUUACAAAUACAAAACACGCAUAGACUAUGGCAAAGUUACAGUGACAUACUUUUCGUUUGGUACUUAUUUUGCAACUAAGGGCCUUGUUGACACGAACAUCUACUUCUGA
rnacentral:rRNA from 1 species